CACAAUUCACCUAUUCACAAAAAUACCAAAAAAAUCUAUUUGUAUUUGUUCCGUGAUCAAACUCUACUCUCUCAAUUUUUCUCUCAAGAACACAACAACUUCAACAACAUCUUCAUCCAUCUUCAUCAAGGAUUGUCAUCAAUUCAUCACUGGUUCGCCUCAGAACACCGGUUGAAGGACAACCACCACCACCAACAACCUUCACUUCCGACAAACCAACUAUCUUCUCUGACCACUCCUCCCUCCGGUACAGCCCCACUCCGGUCAUCAUCAUCAUUAAAUUCUCCUCUUCAUCUUCUCCAAUUAUCAAGGUUCUCCAAGAGUGAUUCCGGAGCCAAUGGUGUGUUCACUUUUCAGUUUUGGCGAAUUUUUUCUCCGUUUUUUCUGCUAUUGUAUUGUUAUGAGAAUAACCUUUGGGUAUUGAUUUUGGACGAACCGAAUCUGUUUUUGAAUCCGUUGGCAUGUUUAUAG